rnacentral:rRNA from 1 species
GCUACUACCGAUUGAAUGGUUUAGUGAGACCCUCGGACUGGAGUCUGUCCGCCGCUUUCGGGUGAUGGAUGGGGACGGAAAGACGGUCGAACUUGAUCAUUUAGAGGAAGUAAAAGUCGUAACAAGGUUUCCGUAGGUG